rnacentral:rRNA from 1 species
GACGAACGCUGGAGGCGUGCUUAACACAUGCAAGUCGAACGGUGAAGCAGGAGCUUGCUCUUGUGGAUCAGUGGCGAACGGGUGAGUAACACGUGAGCAACCUGCCCCUGACUCUGGGAUAAGCGCUGGAAACGGCGGCUAAUACUGGAUAUGUGAUGUGACCGCAUGGUCUGCAGCUGGAAAGACUUGCGGUUGGGGAUGGGCUCGCGGCCUAUCAGCUUGUUGGUGAGGUAAGGGCUCACCAAGGCGUCGACGGGUAGCCGGCCUGAGAGGGUGACCGGCCACACUGGGACUGAGACACGGCCCAGACUCCUACGGGAGGCAGCAGUGGGGAAUAUUGCACAAUGGGCGGAAGCCUGAUGCAGCAACGCCGCGUGAGGGAUGACGGCCUUCGGGUUGUAAACCUCUUUUAGCAGGGAAGAAGCGAAAGUGACGGUACCUGCAGAAAAAGCACCGGCUAACUACGUGCCAGCCGCCGCAGUAA